CUCUUGGCCGCCACCCCCUUUUCUCCCCCUUGGCUGGACGCCCCCUCCCCCUAUGGCAGCCAUCAUCCAUUGCUUCCUCCCCCAAGAUCUCCCCCUACGCAGCAAGGAUCGAGAAAAGGAGGGGCACGUUGAAUUGAAGAGGAAGAGAGGAUCAAGGAGAUGUUCUUCCCCAUCUCUUCUUGAAGAUUUCUUGGGGAAACCCUAGGUGGCUACACUCCAGAUCAUGUCUAGUACAUUUCUUCUUCUUCGAUGAAGGCAAGUGAAUGUAGCGGUGGUUGCUUCCGUUCUGACCUGUUAUUUCUAUUGCCUACACUCUAAUAUUCAGAAGUAUCAGAUUCUUUCAUAAUUGGACUCUAUGGUGAUGCUUUACUUGCUUGCAUUAUACUGAUGCUCAAUCAUAUAUUGAUGAUGAUUAUGAUUUGAGUAUGACUCACGAGAUUAAUUCACAUAUCUGAAGGUAAAUGAAGUAUUAUUUGAGGUUGGUAUUGUAUCUGAAGAUAAAUGAAGUAUUAUUUGAGGUUUGUGUUGUAUCUGAAGGAAGUGAAGUUUAUUGAUAAAUGUAGCAUGCCAUAUACAUUGCAUGACUCAUUUGCAUAUGAAGUUUUGUCGUGACCUAUGGUCCGACCGUACCGGUACAACUUAGCAUCGUACGUUGCCCGAGAAGGGGUAUGAUGCGGCUUCAUACCCUUAGAGGUAUGAAGGCAGAGGACAUAAGCAUUGCAUUCAUAUGCAUUCAUUGAAGUGAUAUUUGCAGAUGAUGUGGUUUUAUACCCCCAGAGGUAUGAAGAUAGAGUACCUACGCAUUGCAUUCAUAUGCAUUCAUUGAAGUGAUAUUUGCAGAUGAUGUGGUUUUAUACCCCCAGAGGUAUGAAGAUAGAGUACCUACACAUUGCAUUCCUAUGCAUACAUUGAAGUGAUAUUUGCAGGUAUUGUUGACGCAGGGAAGUGUUAUAGAACCUAUUGUGGUUGUUCGAGGAAAUGAGAUGGUAUUGGUUAUAGUGGGACUACUGUGUUCUAUAUCUACAAGUAUUUCUGAUUUUUUUAUUGUGUCUCUUUUAAAAUGUUGAUGAAUUCAAUUUGUGGUUUAAAUAUCUCGUCAGAACAAUUAGCUUGCUGAGAUGUUUCAUCUCACUCUUGCAUUACUCAAUGCAGGUGCUUGUUGCUCAUCAAGGGGAGUGGGAAGUAGCAGCACAUCCACCUUCACUCUCAUAAUAAUGCUGCCCAGACACAGCCAUGAUUUAAUUAGAAACUUCUUGUCAAAGGAUGUUUGUUUUUAACUAGUCGUGCGCUCUGAUUAAUUCAGUUCAUUGUUGUUAUGGUUGUCUUCACAUUGCUAGCAGAUUAUUAAUGUCUUAUAUGUUUUCUUAUCAUGAUAUCUAUUUAUACUUUGUUGCUUCCCCCGUUUAUGCAAUUUUCAAAGGAGAUGCUGUCGAAAUUUUAUAUAUGAAUGUUAGAUGUGUAGUUUAGUAGCAUUCUGGGGUGUUUGUGGAUCCCGGGGUGUUACAGUUGGUAUCAAAGGAUAGGCUUUAGAUUCUUGGCAAUUUGAAGAUAAAUUUGACACACUUGCACAUAUAGGAAGGGUAUGGGUUCAAAUAUCUUUGAUAUAUAUUAAUGUCUUUGGAGUGCAGAUGACAAUAGUUUCACCCCUCCCUAUUCCUUUACGGUGAUGUGGUAAGUUGUUUAUGGCUUAAUGCUUGAUAUAAUUUAUUUCUGAAAUUUUGAUAUUGUUUUAUUAAUGCGGUAGAUAUCGCUGGUCAUUGGUGAGAAUGAAGUUGUUAUUAUGCUUGUGAUAUACAAGUAUGCCUAUGUCGUUUUCACCAUGUUUUUCAUGGUUGUGUUUUAUUACAAUAAUAUUGUUAUAUAUGCUUGAUUGUGGAUGUUUCUAAGAGGAGUGUGAAUUGCGUGUUUUGGGGUACAAGGUAAUCAUCAAUUUGAAUUUAAGUUGUUGAGCGGUUGGUGGAUAGCUCCAACUAUCAUUGCAAAGAAUGAUUGUUUAUGUUGAGAAACCAGUUUUGAAAGAAAUGAAUAUUGGUACUUUAUAUGGAUUUUUGGGGGAAGUCUUUUCAUAGCCAGAAUGGCUUACAUGUCUCUCUCAUAUUGUGUGUUCUAGUUGCCACAAAGCCUAGAUGUGGUUUAAAGUGGUUGCCUAUUAGUCAUACUAAUUGUAGAAUAAAUCUUUGAUUCUCUUGAUCCAUUGAUUAUGUAUUGAUACAUUGAGGAUCUGAUGGUUCCCUUUUCGAUGCAUGCUUGUGGAGCCAUUUUUUUAGACCACCUAUCUAUUGGUUUGAAGGAAGUCCUUGCCUAGCCUAGAGUUGGUUGGGUGUGGCUAGUCACCUACUCCUAGAUGAUGUGGUGUUUACAUCAGCUUAAUAUGUUUGUCAAAUGUGUGAAGGAUUAGGGGUUAUUAUUAUUGACUUUGUAUGUCUGGUACUUUGAGUGCAUCGUAUGAUAGAAUGAAAUGUAAGUUUCUGAACUACAGUAGAUGAAGACUUAUAUUAUGUGUAGGUUAUCCUUACUAGUUGGAUAUUUUUCUUAGUUGAGAUGUUGAAUGAAGUAUAGUGACAUGGGUUAAGCAAGUAUUGUGUUGUUGUUGGGCUAUCAGUGCUCUAUGUAGAGUUUUUGGCAUUUCUUCGAUGAACUAUGCCGCACAAGAUGUUAUUGGCUUCUUUUGGCUUUAUUGCUCCAUUAGUUCUAUAGAUUUUCUCCCUUUUGGUGGGGUGUAAGGAAUGUUAGAUUACAUGAUUAUCUUUUCAUGAUGGCAAGAAUAAGGUUUAGAAAGAUUAGGAGUUUUGUUCCAAUAGAACUACUUGUUUCAUGGUGCUUUAAGGUGAGGUGUUUGAUCUUCUUAUACAUUCGUCGGGUGUAGAUGUUUCACCAUUUAAUUAAAAUUAAUGGUUGAAGUUGGUAAGGGUUGUGCUUGGUCCAUAUUACCCCUUCAUAAAAGAGUGUUGUCUUAAGACAUUGAUGUUGAUGUAUAGCUGCAUCCAAAUUUGAUGGUGUGAAAUUGUAGUGUUGAUUGCAACUAUGACAUGCUUUGAGCUUCAUUACAUGUUGUUUCAUGCUUGAUGUCAGGUCGUGUAGUUUCCUUAGACAAUUAGUCCAAGGUAGAAGUUCUUGUGUUAAUUAAGACCAAUAAUGGAUCCAUGUUUUGAAUUGUGGUGCUAUAUGGGGUACCUUGGGUGUUUUGCUUGGAGUGGCCGAAUUCGAGGUCGAAUUCUUUUUAAGGGGGGUAGAAUGUAAUAUCCCAAAAAAAUGUUGACCAAAAGUUAAUCUCUGGUGCGUGGAUGAGGUAAAGGGUUGUGGGCCAUUGGAUGCAAAGAUAGAAGUCAUCUGAGGCGUCGUUUCUUUCUCCCACAAAAACCCUAGGUGGCCACCCCUUUUUUUUCCCUUCACCCCCCCUCUUGGCCGCCACCCCCUUUUCUCCCCCUUGGCUGGACGCCCCCUCCCCCUAUGGCAGCCAUCAUCCAUUGCUUCCUCCCCCAAGAUCUCCCCCUACGCAGCAAGGAUCGAGAAAAGGAGGGGCACGUUGAAUUGAAGAGGAAGAGAGGAUCAAGGAGAUGUUCUUCCCCAUCUCUUCUUGAAGAUUUCUUGGGGAAACCCUAGGUGGCUACACUCCAGAUCAUGUCUAGUACAUUUCUUCUUCUUCGAUGAAGGCAAGUGAAUGUAGCGGUGGUUGCUUCCGUUCUGACCUGUUAUUUCUAUUGCCUACACUCUAAUAUUCAGAAGUAUCAGAUUCUUUCAUAAUUGGACUCUAUGGUGAUGCUUUACUUGCUUGCAUUAUACUGAUGCUCAAUCAUAUAUUGAUGAUGAUUAUGAUUUGAGUAUGACUCACGAGAUUAAUUCACAUAUCUGAAGGUAAAUGAAGUAUUAUUUGAGGUUGGUAUUGUAUCUGAAGAUAAAUGAAGUAUUAUUUGAGGUUUGUGUUGUAUCUGAAGGAAGUGAAGUUUAUUGAUAAAUG
rnacentral:lncRNA from 1 species